CCUACGGGUGGCAGCAGUGGGGAAUAUUGGACAAUGGGCGAAAGCCUGAUCCAGCCAUGCCGCGUGUGUGAAGAAGGCCUUCGGGUUGUAAAGCACUUUCAGUGGGGAAGAAAGCCUUGGGGCUAAUACCCUCGAGGAAGGACAUCACCCACAGAAGAAGCACCGGCUAACUCCGUGCCAGCAGCCGCGGUAAUACGGAGGGUGCGAGCGUUAAGCGGAAUUACUGGGCGUAAAGCGCGCGUAGGCGGUCUGAUAAGCCGGUUGUGAAAGCCCCGGGCUCAACCUGGGAACGGCAUCCGGAACUGUCAGGCUAGAGUGCAGGAGAGGAAGGUAGAAUUCCCGGUGUAGCGGUGAAAUGCGUAGAGAUCGGGAGGAAUACCAGUGGCGAAGGCGGCCUUCUGGACUGACACUGACGCUGAGGUGCGAAAGCGUGGGUAGCAAACAGGAUUAGAUACCCGAGUAGUC
rnacentral:rRNA from 1 species